AACCUUUCUUGUUGGAAGGCUUUGGUUUAUAUGUAAAAUGUUGGUUUACCAACUAUGGCGAUAAACGCUUUAUGCAAUAAGUUGUGCGGACCCGGGGGCGGUACCCGGCGCCUCCACCAUAAAUUUACGGGGGCGAAAUAGGUUUGACGUUGACUCAAAGAUAAAGACUUUGCCCGGCAUUGUACCACCGUUAUCGGACUAAUUUUAUAAAUGCUAACGAUAAUAGAUUAGCUAUCGCUGCCUAGUUUACUAGGCUAGCGCGGGAUGGGGCACCGGGCAACAGAACGCCCCAUG
rnacentral:tmRNA from 1 species